ACGAAACACGUACAUCUUCGCGUACUACAUAAAUUUUCACAUUUGUUUGUCCUUUUUCUCUACAACAAAUUUUAUUUUCAAUUAAAUAAAAACAAUCAUACAUAAAAUAAAUAAAAUUGAGCUUCAUUAAGCUCAAAUUCUGCAUUUAAUUAACCCCAAAAAACAAUAGACUAGCCUCGAAAAUGUCCAGCGAAGAUAAUAGUAAUGAUUCGAGCGAUGAAUCGGUGGGAGAGAAGCGCUUGAAAACAUCGGGCUCAGUGGAUAAACAUAAACGUAGCAAAAAACAUAAGAAACACAAAAAAUCUGGCAAAGGUGAAAAAUCCCAUAAGAAACACAAGAAGUCCAAAAGACGACACAAGUCCAAUGUCUCGGAAAGUGAAGAUGAUGAUCAUCGAAAAUCGAGUGCUUCUCGUCGCAGCGGAGCUGGCGGGAUAAAUGAAAAGUUCACAGAAAUCAUGCAAAAGGCAAGUAGAGAUCGUAGUUCGCUCCUCAAAGUCGAACAUUCGAAUGGCAAUAAGUUCAGCAUAAGGAAACCGAACAUACAAACAGAUGCCUCGAGUUUGGUUGAGGAGAUAACCAAGACCAUACAGAAUAAGGUGAUUCCGGCUAUGGAAAUAGUCUCUUCGGGAACUGAGAGUGAAGUGAACGAUGCCGAUGUUGACGUUGCCAGUCCAGAUGUGGCAAUAAUAGAAGAUGAACUGAAUCUGGAAGAGCUGAUGCGCCAAAAAGCCCUUCUACAGGCUCGCUUAGGUGCCUACAUGUCCGACACAGACGAAGAAAAAGCAAAUGGUUCGUCAGUAUCGAAGGAGGCAUCCGCAAAGUCUCAGUUGGCUCGUUCCAUUGAGGUGACUGUGCAUAACAAAAGGCUCGAGGAGUCAAAGUCCGCAUCUAAAACGAACUCUAGUAAAAAUAUUCAUAAAAUUUCCAAAACAAAUGAACCCGAUAUUAUUUUGUUGGAUGAUUCUAGUGGUGGUGUGCGAACGCCAGAUCGCCAUGCUGCCAAAUCAGCCACAGCGGCAUCAGGUAAACGUCAUUCUAGGUCGUCGCCCAGUGAGGUCCGAGCACCACCGGAGAAACGUUCUCGAGCGAGAAAACCAUCGUCUGGCGAACGAGAUCGCAGUUCGAGACGAGGCGGUCAAAGCAAAUCGCCGAGGGGAGCGCUCAGAGAAGAUAGAUCCAGUGAUCGUCGGCGGGAAGAUGGGUCACGGGGUCGUCAUGAUCAAACACAUCAGCAACAAGUUCAACGAAGAGACAGUCGCCGAGACAAUGAUAAUCGGUACAAAGUUGAUCUGCGCACGGAAAUAAAUCGUGAUAAAGAGAGGGAACGCGACACCAGCACCAGGAAGCCACGUGCCGAUGGCGACCGCCAAUGGCAGGAUAACAAACAAGGGCAAAAUGCCCGAGGCAGAGGACGGGACCGUGAACGUGAUCGUGAGCGCUGGAUGCGAGAGCGAAGUCACAGUCGCAGCAAAGUGGAAUCGGAUCGAAAGCGGGAGCAACGCGAAAGGGAAAUGGAACGCUCUCGUGGUGAUGGGUCCGUGGGGAGGAAAGACGAGCGACCCGAUCGUUAUCGCGGCUCGCUGAGUGAGGGUCAGAAGGAUAGGCUCGCAGGCUCAAGCAUUAGCAGCAGCGAGGAGGAACUCAAUAACAUUGACAUUAAUGACGACGAUGAUGAGGAGAAGAUCAUAGAAAUGAGACGCAAGCGAAGAGAGGAGCUACUUAAGAAACUAGGAGGCAACCCCAAAGAAAGUGAGAGAAAAUCACCAUCCCCGCCACCAUUGCAGGAAAAACAAAAAGAUUCUCCUUCGCCAGUUAAGAGAAAAGUAGAAGAAGAACCAUCCCCACAGCGGCAACGAGUUUCCACUAAAUUCCCAAUUCAUCUCCAUGAUGAACAAUCAACGGACACAACGCACACUCCUCCUCCGGUAAAAAACAAAAACAACGAUGACGAAGAGGAAGAAGAAGAAGACUCAGAAACUGGCCUAAAAAGAUAUUCCGUAGAUGAAAGUACAAAAGAACUACCAGUUACGACGGCAACGAGUACGACUACGACCACGACGACAGGCAAACGACCCGAAUGGGAUAUGUUUGCUGAUCAAGAUGUCGAUUCUAACUUCGAUUCUCCGAGUACAAUUAUUCACAAUAAGCAUCAAACAGAGAAUCCAGCUCUCACGGAUAACUGGGAUGAUGCUGAGGGAUACUACCGGGUGCGAAUUGGAGAGACCCUCGACAAUCGGUAUGUGGUCAGUGGAUACACUGGACAAGGAGUCUUCAGUAAUGUCAUUCGAGGUCGUGAUCAAGCCAGAGGAAAUGCUAAUGUAGCCGUUAAAAUCAUUCGAAACAAUGAGAUCAUGCACAAAACGGGACUGAGAGAGUUAGAAAUCCUAAAGAAACUAAACGAUGCCGAUCCGGAAGACCGGUUUCAUUGUUUGCGUUUGUACCGGCAUUUCUUUCAUAAACAGCAUUUGUGUAUGGUAUUUGAACCAUUGGCAAUGAAUCUGCGUGAAGUUCUCAAAAAAUACGGCAAAAAUGUCGGCCUUCACAUUAAAGCCGUACGAAGUUAUACCCAACAGCUUUUCCUUGCUCUGAAACUUCUCAAAAAAACUGGCAUUCUACAUGCGGACAUUAAACCUGAUAAUAUUUUGGUUAAUGAAAGUCACUUGAUAUUGAAACUUUGUGAUUUUGGUUCAGCAUCGGCCAUUAAUGAAAAUGAAAUUACACCCUAUUUGAUAUCACGUUUCUAUCGAGCACCUGAAAUCAUUUUGGGAAUUCCAUACGACUAUGGAAUUGAUAUGUGGUCAGCAGGAUGUACAAUCUAUGAAUUGUACACUGGAAAAAUAUUAUUCAGUGGAAAGAGCAACAAUCAGAUGUUGAAGUUCUUCAUGGAUUUGAAAGGCAAAAUUCCCAACAAAGUCGUUCGCAAAGGUCAAUUCAAAGACCAACACUUUGAUCAAAGUUGUAAUUUCCUCUAUCACGAAAUUGACAAAAUUACAGAGAGGGAAAAAAUUGUGGUGAUGCCAGUUAUAAAACCAUCGAGAAAUCUACAAAAUGAAUUGAUCGCUGAUCAAAAUUUACCCGAUGACCAACACCGCAAAGUAACCCAACUUAAGGAUCUACUUGAUAGUAUUUUUGCUCUUGAUUUAUCCAAACGCAUCUCCCUUAACCAGGCUUUAACACAUCCAUUUAUUCAGGAAAAAAUGUAAAAAAACUAAAAUGUACACAAUUUUGCAAUCCACAAACCACAACAACGGCAACAAAUCAUUAUACAGAUUAACCAGAGGACGUGAUCCACACUUGUUCUCCUCUUGCAUUUGCAUAGAGAGAAAAGUUUGAAGAGCUGACACGUUCGCGUUUUUGUUGUCGUCUAAGUCGUCGUCGUCGUCCUCCUCCUCCUACUCGUCGCAGUAAAAUUUCGGCUAAGAUCCGCUGGAUUUCUUUAUUGCAAAAAAAGAAAUUAAACUGAAACUGAAGGUAGUGUCAGCUGCGUUACCGUGUGACGUUGAAAAGUUUUAGAAAUUUUGUGGUAGCUUACAUGAUGAUGUACCUCAAAAUUGAGCACACUACCUUGCUUGCUGAAAAAGCAACGCUUAUAUGGUGUUAUGAGAUGUUGCUCAAGAAAACAGCCAAAGAUAAAUUUUCUUGCUUUAAAAGCAUGACUUGCAGUGAGCCGAUAAAGCCGCUUAAAAACGAGUACCUACUCAAAUUCUGUUAAAAAAUAAAGAAAAUAACCCUAAGAAAACGUCAAAACAGUAAUUUUUGCAGUAAGAGUUAAAAAUGGGUAGAACUUUGUAUUUUUUAUACGCAUAUUAAAUUGUUUUCAUAUUUU